rnacentral:rRNA from 1 species
UACGUAGGGGGCAAGCGUUGUCCGGAAUCAUUGGGCGUAAAGCGCGUGUAGGCGGCUCGGUAAGUCCGCUGUGAAAGUCGGGGGCUCAACCCUCGGAUGCCGGUGGAUACUGUCGGGCUUGAGUACGGAAGAGGCGAGUGGAAUUCCUGGUGUAGCGGUGAAAUGCGCAGAUAUCAGGAGGAACACCAAUUGCGAAGGCAGCUCGCUGGGACGUUACUGACGCUGGAGACGCGAAAGCGUGGGGAGCAAACAGG